AUGAUUACUCAUAUGAGAGCUGCUGACGUUGAGUGGAACAAGGUGAAUCUUAAUGUUUGUACAAUUUGUUGUGGUAGAAUUGUUGGUGACAUCUUUGAGAAGACAGAUGAGAAAAUUAAGUCACCACAUACAACAGUCAGUCCGCACACAACACAGUCAGUCCGCAUACAGCACGGUCGUUCCACACACAGCACAGUCAGUCCGCAUACAGCACCGUCGGUCCGCAUACAGCACCGUCGGUCCGCAUACAACACGGUCAGUCCACAUACAGCACGGUCGGUCCGCACACAGCACCGUCGGUCCGCAUACAGCACGGUCAGUCCGCACACAGCACGGUCGGUCCGCACACAGCACCGUCGGUCCGCAUACAGCACGGUCGGUCCGCAUACAGCACGGUCAGUCCGCAUUCAACACUCAGUCCACGUACAACACUCGGUCCACAUACAACACUCAGUCCACAUACAGCACGGUCAGUCCACAUACAACACUCAGUCCACAUACAGCACCGUCAGUCCACAUACAGCACGGUCAGUCCGCACACAGCACGGUCGGUCCGCACACAGCCCGGUUGGUCUGCGUACAACACGGUCAGUCCGCACACAGCACCGUCGGUCCACACACAAGACGGUCAGUCCACAUACAGCACGGUCAGUCCGCACACAGCAAGGUCGGUGCGCAGACAGCACGGUCGGUCCGCACACAGCACCGUCGGUCCGCAUACAACACGGUCGGUCCACAUACAGCACGGUGAGUCCACAUACAGCACGGUCGGUCCACACACAGCACGGUCGGUCCACAUACAGCACGGUCGGUCCACGUACAACACUCAGUCCACGUACAACACUCAGUCCACGUACAACACUCAGUCCACAUACAGCACGGUCGGUCCGCAUACAGCACGGUCGGUCCACAUACAACACUCAGUCCACGUACAACACUCAGUCCACGUACAACACUCAGUCCACGUACAGCACGGUCGGUCCGCACACAGCACGGUCGGUCCGCACACAGCCCGGUUGGUCCACACACAGCACCGUCGGUCCACAUACAACAAUGGUCAGUCACAGCUGUGGCCUCGAUGUUGGUGUCUUCCUGUUUUAGUCUGUUCUCACGGCGCCAUGAAGAAAUACCUGAGACUAAUUUAUAAAGAAAAGAGGCUUAAUCAACUCACAGUUCCACAUGGCUGGGGAGGCCUCAAGAAAUUUACGAUCAUGGCAGAAGGCACCUCUUCACAAGGCAGCAGGAGAGAGAAUGGGUGCCAGUCGAAGGGGGAACCCCUCAUAUGAGAAUGCACUAGCAGGAGAACAGCAUGGAGGAAACCAUCCCACGAUUCAGUCACCUCCACCUGGUUCUGCCCUUGACUGUGGAAAUUAUUACAAUUUAAGGUGAGAUUUGCGUGGGGGGCACAGAGCCAAACCAUAUCACCCUGCAAAACUCAUAUUGAAACCUAACCCUCUGUGCAAUAGCACUAGGAGGUGGGGCCUCUGGGGGGCCUCUGCCCUCAUGGAUGGAUGACUGCCCUCCCAAAAGAGGCCCCAGGGAGCACACAUAUUCCUCCCUUCCACCAUCCAAGGACACGUCGAUGAAUCAUGGUCUGUCACCACACACUGAAUUUACUGGCGCCUGAUCUUGGACUUCCGGCCUCCAGAACU
rnacentral:lncRNA from 13 species